rnacentral:rRNA from 1 species
AACUAACGCUGGCGGCGUGCCUAACACAUGCAAGUCGUACGAGAAAGCCGGCUUCGGCUGGUGAGUAAAGUGGCGCACGGGUGAGUAACGCGUGGAUAAUCUGCCCUUAAGUGUGGAAUAACGUACCGAAAGGUGCGCUAAUACCGCAUAAUGCCUGGCAACACAAGUUGUCCGGCCAAAGAAGGCCUCUGUUUACAAGCUUUCGCUUCAGGAUGAGUCCGCGUACCAUUAGCUUGUUGGUGGGGUAAUGGCCUACCAAGGCUGCGAUGGUUAGCUGGUCUGAGAGGAUGAUCAGCCACACUGGAACUGAGACACGGUCCAGACUCCUACGGGAGGCAGCAGUAGGGAAUAUUGGACAAUGGGCGCAAGCCUGAUCCAGCCAUGCCGCGUGAGUGAAGAAGGCCCUCGGGUUGUAAAGCUCUUUUGUCCGGAAAGAAAGACGCCGGGUUAAUACCCUGGUGUCCUGACGGUACCGGAAGAAUAAGCACCGGCUAACUU